AAUGAACGCUGGCGGCGCGCCUAAUACAUGCAAGUCGAGCGAGAAGACGUAGCAAUACGUUUGUAAAGCGGCGAACGGGUGAGGAAUACAUGGGUAACCUACCCUCGAGUGGGGAAUAACUAGCCGAAAGGUUAGCUAAUACCGCGUACGCUUCUUGGACUUCGGUUCAGGGAGGAAAGCGAUGCCGAGGGUAUCGCGCUCUUGGAUGGGCUCAUGUCCUAUCAGCUUGUUGGNGAGGUAACGGCUCACCAAGGCUUCGACGGGUAGCUGGUCUGAGAGGACGAUCAGCCACACUGGCACUGCGACACGGGCCAGACUCCUACGGGAGGCAGCAGUAAGGAAUAUUGGACAAUGGAGGCAACUCUGAUCCAGCCAUGCCGCGUGCAGGAUG
rnacentral:rRNA from 1 species